rnacentral:lncRNA from 1 species
UUCGUUUGGUAGGUCAGAGUCGGACGUCGGUCGGUGUGUGCCGGAGAUCAGUCGGUUUAUGAAGGUCGGUCGGUUUACUCCAAUAGCUGCCCCCCCACUCCCGAGUUCAAUGGUGAAUCAUCGCGUGCGUCAUCACGUGGUUAAUCGUCUUGGACGAAAGGAGUUGUUGUCUGUCAUGUUGAAUCCCAGUUCUGAAUCACUUUCAUUGGAGUACGGCCGAACAGUCAUUUUAUCGCUUUCAAGCCGUCAUAUCGGCAGGAGGAUCUGGUGUCAGGCAUUGUAUCGAGA